rnacentral:rRNA from 1 species
UGGGGAAUAUUGGACAAUGGGCGGAAGCCUGAUCCAGUAACGCCGCGUGAGGGAUGACGGCCUUCGGGUUGUAAACCUCUUUCAGCACAGACGAAGCGCAAGUGACGGUAUGUGCAGAAGAAGGACCGGCCAACUACGUGCCAGCAGCCGCGGUAAUACGUAGGGUCCGAGCGUUGUCCGGAAUUAUUGGGUUUAAAGGGUGCGUAGGCGGCCUUUUAAGUCAGUGGUGAAAGCCCAUAGCUCAACUAUGGAACUGCCAUUGAUACUGAAAGGCUUGAGUACAGACGAGGUUGGCGGAAUGGAUGGUGUAGCGGUGAAAUGCAUAGAUACCAUCCAGAACUCCGAUUGCGUAGGCAGCUAACUAGGCUGUAACUGACGCUGAGGCACGAAAGCGUGGGGAGCAAACAGGAUUAGAUACCCUGGUAGUCCACGCUGUAAACGAUGAUUACUCGAUGUUGGCGAUACACUGUCAGCGUCUUAGCGAAAGCGUUAAGUAAUCCACCUGGGGAGUACGCCCGCAAGGGUGC